rnacentral:tRNA from 1 species
GUCCCCGUAGCUCAACUUGGUAGAGCAGCGGACUCUUAAUCCGUUGGUUGCGAGUUCGACUCUCGCCGGGGACA